rnacentral:misc_RNA from 1 species
AAGUCGUAACAAGGUUUCCGUAGGUGAACCUGCGGAAGGAUCAUUAGCAGAACUGCGCGCGCCGCGAGGCCGCCAUUCUCAUCCUUCACCCUGUGCAUCGUGACCCUUUUUUCGCGCUCUGUGCGAUCGAAACCAAGUCUCGAAACUACUUUAAAUACGAAAGCAUAAAAUGAAGCAACGGAUCUCUUGGCUCUC